rnacentral:rRNA from 1 species
GACGAACGCUGGCGGCGUGCCUAAUACAUGCAAGUCGAACGCUUCUUUCCUCCCGAGUGCUUGCACUCAAUUGGAAAGAGGAGUGGCGGACGGGUGAGUAACACGUGGGUAACCUACCCAUCAGAGGGGGAUAACACUUGGAAACAGGUGCUAAUACCGCAUAACAGUUUAUGCCGCAUGGCAUAAGAGUGAAAGGCGCUUUCGGGUGUCGCUGACGGAUGGACCCGCGGUGCCUUAGCUAGUUGGUGAGGUAACGGCUCACCAAGGCCACGAUGCAUAGCCGACCUGAGAGGGUGAUCGGCCACACUGGGACUGAGACACGGCCCAGACUCCUACGGGAGGCAGCAGUAGGGAAUCUUCGGCAAUGGACGAAAGUCUGACCGAGCAACGCCGCGUGAGUGAAGAAGGUUUUCGGAUCGUAAAACUCUGUUGUUAGAGAAGAACAAGGACGUUAGUAACUGAACGUCCCCUGACGGUAUCUAAACAGAAAGCCACGGCUAACUACGUG